rnacentral:rRNA from 1 species
UGCUGUCUAGAAAAGCCUCUAGCGAGUGCGUGCAUGGCCCGUACCGGAAACCGACACAGGUGGUCAGGUAGAGAAUACUAAGGCGUUCGGGUGAACUGUGGUUAAGGAACUCGGCAAAUGCCCCCGUAACUUCGGGAGAAGGGGACCAUUACUGGUUGCUGACAGCGAAUUGGCUGGUGGUGGUCGCAGAGGAGAGAGGAAGCGACUGUUUAUUAAAAACACAGGUCCGUGCGAAAACGUGGAAGUUGAGGUAUACGGACUGACGCCUGCCCGGUGCUGGAAGGUUAAGAGGACCCGUGAGCACGCCUUAUGUGUGUGCGAGGCGGAGAAUUGAAGCCCCAGUAAACGGCGGUGGUAACUAUAACCAUCCUAAGGUAGCGAAAUUCCUUGUCGGGUAAGUUCCGACCUGCACGAAUGGCGUAACGACUUCCCUGCUGUCUCAACCACAGGCCCGGUGAAAUUUGCAGUACGAGUAAAGAUGCUCGUUUCGCGCGGCAGGACGAAAAGACCCCGGGACCUUUACUAUAGCUUGGUAUUGGUGUUUGGUCAUGCUUGUGUAGGAUAGGUGGGAGACUGUGAAGCCGCAACGCUAGUUGUGGUGGAGUCGCAGGUGAAAUACCACUCUGGUGUGAUUGGUACCUGAACCUUGGCCCGUGAUCCGGGUUGGGGACAGUGCCUGGUGGGUAGUUUAACUGGGGCGGUUGCCUCCUAAAUGGUAACGGAGGCGCCCAAAGGUUUCCUCAGUCUGGUUGGCAAUCAGAUGGUGAGUGUAAGUGUAUAAGGGAGCUUGACUGUGACACUGACGGGUGGAGCAGGUGCGAAAGCAGGGACUAGUGAUCCGGCACCUACGUGUGGUUGUGGUGUCGCUCAACGGAUAAAAGGUACCCCGGGGAUAACAGGCUGAUCUUCCCCAAGAGUUCAUAUCGACGGGAUGGUUUGGCACCUCGAUGUCGGCUCGUCGCAUCCUGGGGCUGGAGUAGGUCCCAAGGGUUGGGCUGUUCGCCCAUUAAAGCGGCACGCGAGCUGGGUUUAGAACGUCGUGAGACAGUUCGGUCUCUAUCCGCCGCGCGCGUUGAAACUUGAAGAAGGCUGUCCCUAGUACGAGAGGACCGGGAUGGACGUACCUCUGGUAUGCCAGUUGUCACGCCAGUGGCAUGGCUGGUUAGCUACGUGCGGGAGGGAUAACCGCUGAAAGCAUCUAAGCGGGAAGCCUGUUUUGAGAUGAGGUUUCUGUUGAGGUUCCCUGUAGAUGAUGGGGUUGAUAGGCCAGGGCUGUGAGCAUGGUGACGUGUUGGAGGUGACUGGUACUAAUACACCGACACAAAAAAAC